rnacentral:rRNA from 1 species
UACGUAGGGUGCAAGCGUUAAUCGGAAUUACUGGGCGUAAAGCGUGCGCAGGCGGUUUUGUAAGUCUGUCGUGAAAUCCCCGGGCUCAACCUGGGAAUGGCGAUGGAAGACUGCAAGGCUAGAAUCUGGCAGAGGGGGGUAGAAUUCCACGUGUAGCAGUGAAAUGCGUAGAGAUGUGGAGGAACACCGAUGGCGAAGGCAGCCCCCUGGGUCAAGAUUGACGCUCAUGCACGAAAGCGUGGGGAGCAAACAGGAUUAGAAACCCGUUG